CAACAGGCUUUCUUAAAAUCCACAAACAGCAAGCUAAACAAAAUAU
rfam:Merops nubicus contig43819, whole genome shotgun sequence.